rnacentral:rRNA from 2 species
AAUGGACGAAAGUCUGAUGGAGCAAUGCCGCGUGAGUGAAGAAGGGUUUCGGCUCGUAAAACUCUGUUGUUAAAGAAGAACACCUUUGAGAGUAACUGUUCAAGGGUUGACGGUAUUUAACCAGAAAGCCACGGCUAACUACGUGCCAGCAGCCGCGGUAAUACGUAGGUGGCAAGCGUUGUCCGGAUUUAUUGGGCGUAAAGCGAGCGCAGGCGGUUUUUUAAGUCUGAUGUGAAAGCCUUCGGCUUAACCGGAGAAGUGCAUCGGAGACUGGGAGACUUGAGUGCAGAAGAGGACAGUGGAACUCCAUGUGUAGCGGUGGAAUGCGUAGAUAUAUGGAAGAACACCAGUGGCGAAGGCGGCUGUCUAGUCUGUAACUGACGCUGAGGCUCGAAAGCAUGGGUAGCGAACAGGAUUAGAUACCCUGGUAGUCCAUGCCGUAAACGAUGAGUGCUAAGUGUUGGAGGGUUUCCGCCCUUCAGUGCUGCAGCUAACGCAUUAAGCCACUCCGCCUGGGGAGUACGACCGCAAGGUUGAAACUCAUAGGAAUUGACCGGGGCCCGCACAAGCCGUGGAGCAUGUGGUUAAUUCGAAGCUACGCGAGAACCUUACCAGGUCUUGACAUCUUCUGCC